rnacentral:rRNA from 1 species
AAAGGUGGCUAUGCUACCGCUUUUGGAUGGGCCCGCGGCGCAUUAGCUAGUUGGUGGGGUAAAGGCUUACCAAGGCAAUGAUGCGUAGCCGAACUGAGAGGUUGAUCGGCCACAUUGGGACUGAGACACGGCCCAAACUCCUACGGGAGGCAGCAGUAGGGAAUCUUCCACAAUGGGCGAAAGCCUGAUGGAGCAACGCCGCGUGGGUGAAGAAGGUCUUCGGAUCGUAAAACCCUGUUGUUAGAGAAGAAAGUGCGUGAGAGUAACUGUUCACGUUUCGACAGUAUCUAACCAGAAAGCCACGGCUAACUACGUGCCAGCAGCCGCGGUAAUACGUAGGUGGCAAGCGUUAUCCGGAUUUAUUGGGCGUAAAGGGAACGCAGGCGGUCUUUUAAGUCUGAUGUGAAAGCCUUCGGCUUAACCGGAGUAGUGCAUUGGAAACUGGGAGACUUGAGUGCAGAAGAGGAGAGUGGAACUCCAUGUGUAGCGGUGAAAUGCGUAGAUAUAUGGAAGAACACCAGUGGCGAAAGCGGCUCUCUGGUCUGUAACUGACGCUGAGGUUCGAAAGCGUGGGUAGCAAACAGGAUUAGAUACCCUGGUAGUCCACGCCGUAAACGAUGAAUGCUAAGUGUUGGAGGGUUUCCGCCCUUCA